GCAUCCAUGGCUGAAUGGUUAAAGCGCCCAACUUAUAAUUGGUAAAUUUGCGGGUUCAAUUCCUGCUGGAUGCA
rnacentral:tRNA from 1 species